UACGUAGGGGCCUAGCGUUGUCCGGAUUUAUUGGGCGUAAAGAGCUCGUAGGCGGUUCGGUAAGUCAGGUGUGAAAUCUCCACGCUCAACGUGGAGGCGCCACCUGAAACUGCCGUGACUCGAGUCCGGUAGGGGAGUGUGGAAUUCCCGGUGUAGCGGUGAAAUGCGCAGAUAUCGGGAGGAACACCAGUAGCGAAGGCGGCUCGCUGGGCCAUUCCUGACGCUGAGACGCGAAAGCUAGGGGAGCGAACAGG
rnacentral:rRNA from 1 species